UUUGAUCUUGGAAAACUUGUAGAUCCGUUUUGUGUGCUAUUAGUGUCCUUUUAGAGAGGAAUAUGAAACGUGGCACCACCCCUUUGAUUCUAAACUUGUGGCCAGUUGAUUUAGGCUCUCUUUUGUUUUGUUUUAGACCACCUCCAUAUCAUGUCAUGUCAUUUUGUUCUUCCACCUAUUGUUGCAUGGCAUUUUCUUGCUAAACCUUG
rnacentral:lncRNA from 1 species